UACGUAGGGUGCGAGCGUUGUCCGGAAUUACUGGGCGUAAAGGGCGCGUAGGCGGCCUGCUAAGUCGGACGUGAAAUCCCUCGGCUCAACCGGGGAACUGCGUCCGAUACUGGUGGGCUCGAAUCCGGGAGAGGGAUGUGGAAUUCCAGGUGUAGCGGUGAAAUGCGUAGAUAUCUGGAGGAACACCGGUGGCGAAGGCGGCAUCCUGGACCGGUAUUGACGCUGAUGCGCGAAAGCCAGGGGAGCAAAAGGG
rnacentral:rRNA from 1 species